rnacentral:tRNA from 1 species
GCGGGAUUGGCACAUUGGUUGCGCACUGGCUUCCCAAGCCAGCCAAACGAGUUCGAUUCUCGUAUCCCGCU